rnacentral:rRNA from 1 species
UGAACGCUGGCGGCAUGCCUUACACAUGCAAGUCGAACGGCAGCACGGGUGCUUGCACCUGGUGGCGAGUGGCGAACGGGUGAGUAAUACAUCGGAAUGUACCUUGUAGUGGGGGAUAGCUCGGCGAAAGCCGGAUUAAUACCGCAUACGCUCUGAGGAGGAAAGCGGGGGACCUUCGGGCCUCGUGCUACAAGAGCAGCCGAUGUCAGAUUAGCUUGUUGGUGAGGUAAAAGCUCACCAAGGCGACGAUCUGUAGCUGAUCUGAGAGGACGAUCAGCCACACUGGGACUGAGACACGGCCCAGACUCCUACGGGAGGCAGCAGUGGGGAAUUUUGGACAAUGGGGGCAACCCUGAUCCAGCAAUGCCGCGUGUGUGAAGAAGGCCUCGGUUGUAAGUCGACUUUGUCCGGUAACGAAUACGCGCUGGUUAAUACCUGGUCGUGGAGUGACGGUACCGGAACGAAGUAAGACACCGGCGUAACUACGU